rnacentral:rRNA from 1 species
GAUGAACGCUGGCGGCGUGCCUAAUACAUGCAAGUCGAGCGGUAAGGCUCUGCACUUAGUAUUUUAUCGUAACGAUGAUCGUAAGGUUAUCGUUAAAUCAAGUUAUUCGGACCCUAGGCUAGGGAAUGGAGAAGCAAGAGGAGAUCGAAUGUUAAGUGUAGAGUACACGAGCGGCGGACGGCUGAGUAACACGUAGGAACGUACCCCAAAGUGAGGGAUAACUGCUCGAAAGAGUAGCUAAUACCGCAUGUGCUCUAAGGAGUAAAGCUUCGGCGCUUUGGGAACGGCCUGCGCAUGGUUAGCUUGUUGGUGAGGUAAUAGCUCACCAAGGCGACGAUCAUUAGCUGGUCUGAGAGGAUGAUCAGCCAGAC